rnacentral:lncRNA from 11 species
UGCAGCUAAGAAUGUGGCCAAUUAAGACUGCUUCUCGUGAGAAUCUUUGGGGAGUCUCACAUCUGGUCUCAGAGUUAGCUUUCGGUUCUGAUUCCCAGAGAACUGCUUCGGCGGGAAAGCUAGACUCUAUUUAGGUGUUUUACCCGCGUAGUAACUUCGCGGAGUCAAUUCGUCAGCCUUCGGGGCGAGUUGUGUCUGGACAGCGCGCUCCGAUUCAAGCCUCGCUCCUGCUCAAGCCUUGCCUUGCUAUCCAGCCUUCGCCUUGCUUCCCAGCCUUGUUUAUCUACGGACUUUGCCUUGUUUCCCAGGAUCAAUCCUUGCCUUGUUCCACGGACCUUGUUCUUGUUCUUAGUUACCUUGUUCCACGUUCAAGCCUUGUUUCAAGUAUCAAGUUAUUUCCUAGCCUCGCUCAAGUUUCAUGGACUAAAGGACCUUGUCAUCUCCCCUCACUUUGCUUGGCAAAGUGAGUGUUUCGGUUAUUGGAUUACAACUUUGGACCUUAAUAUUUCUUAUUGGACAUUGCUUUUUUGGACUAAUUCUGACCUUUCCUGAAAGGUCUAAUUCUGGACUAUUUUCUACACUUGUUUUUAUUAACCUUAUAUAUUCCUACAAUAAAG